rnacentral:misc_RNA from 1 species
GGAAACAGCAUGUGAGGAAGUGGCAAUCAGCUGGUGACAGCUAAAUUUAGGUUGUCCCGCGAAGUCUGACUUUAAAGUUUUGAUGGAGCAAUUACUAGGGUUGUGAUGGCGGUCCGAAUUAUACAUGAAACGACAUAUCUCGUAUCAUCAGUCAUUCGACGACGACAACUUUAGCUACUUGCCAGUGAACAGACCGCCAUCAUUUAGCUGGAAUAUUGGUGAGUGCGGCAUUAACCAAACAACAAACAAAAACAAACAAAUCAAACUUGCUGGGAUUUUCAGUUGGCCUAGUUGGGUCUUCAACAAGUCAUCACACAUGUGAAUCAUCUCGGCUGUAUUGCAGAUGCUAACCCUUAGAGCUGGAUGUCCCCAGGCGGCUAAAGACUGAACCACCCGCCAUGACCGUGGUGUGUAAGACCAAGAUGGGCUGGUUCAUUGACCAUCUGCUGGCAGUGGACGGGGCCUAUACGGGCCACCAGACCACCACGCACUACAGCCUCAAGUCAGCCAUGUUUGAUAUGCAGUGUCCCUUCAUGAUGGAUUCCCAGUUUGAGAAGUGGCACAAGCUCCAGGAGACGCAGCAGACUCCACAGACAAAGAAGAGAAAGCGGAGGAUACCAGACAUGAGCGGUGGCGGUGAUACUAGCGAAUUAAAAGAGCUUGUAGAGAGACUGUCAUCAGCUCACAAGACACUAGUUGCCGCUGCUCGUCAACACGGACAUCUGCUGGAGAGGAAGGUAGUCCCUAGCAACAACAACACUGCUGCCAGACUAGCAGCAAGUCUAGCUGGACCAGGGGAUAGGCUGGCUGAGGUGGCCGAGUCAUGGUCUAAGGGAGAGAACUCAUGGCAGUCUCCACAUCUCAUCAAUGACAGUGGAACAGCACUCAGCAUGGCAGACGUCUUUCACCGGAGAGUGACAUACAAGGGAGAUAAUCCUGUUGUCAUGUGUCUUGAUGGUCACCACUACCUAAUUCCACCUCGGUCGUCAUUCGUCAUGUCUGACUUCAACCAGCUGCUGCAGAACUCAAACACUCUACAAGUUCCAGGUGGGUAUGACUUGAUCGUUGUCGACCCUCCGUGGCAGAACAAGUCCGUGAAGAGGAAGAGGAGCUACUACAGUCUGGAAGAGGAAUCCCUGCUUCGGCUGCCAGUAGCUGACUUGGCCUCACCCUCCUGUCUCAUUGUCACGUGGGUCACAAACAAGCCACGCCUUACUUCAUUUGUACAAGACCAACUGCUGCCACAUUGGGGCGUCCAGCAGGUCAUGCAGUGGCACUGGGUGAAGGUGACAGUGGAUGGGACCAUGGUCUGUGAUAUUGCCUCCCCAACAAAGAAACCGUACGAAACUCUGCUCCUCGGUCGAUUGGUGAGGAAGGGAGGGGAGACAACUCAGGAGAAACAGGGUCCACCAGUAACUUCAGGACACAGCUCAAGUUUUGUGGAGUCUCUCUCUGUGAAGGGUGUUAGCUCAACUCAUCAUGAUCAACACACAUCCGUCCCAGUCACGUUAAGGGCAGACAACUCAAAUACGUCAGACCAGGACCUGUUGGCUACAUCAAGAGCAAAUGACUCUGAUGUGAUUGACCAGUACGUUGCCAAAGUCAAGGAAUAUGACAGCUCAAGUCUUCUGCAGUCAUCAAAGGGUAACAACUCUCAUGUUACCCAUGGUUACUUAUCAGAGGGUAACGUUUCAGAUCUGCCAGACAAUCGUGUGAUCCUCAGUGUGCCUUGCAGUCUUCACUCCAAGAAACCCCCACUUCAAGAUGUCCUGGCGCAGUACCUACCGCCAACACCAGCAUGUCUGGAGCUGUUUGCCCGGAACUUGUGGCCAGAUUGGGUCAGCUGGGGACAUGAAGUACUGAAGCAUCAGCACUUGGACUACUUUGAGGAGAAGACCUAGACCGUGUCUUAAAGGGGUAUUCCACACAGACAACAUGGCUGGUCCCAGUGACUGGCAGCUCAGGAGCCCAUGUCCUAAAGGGACGUUCCACAGACAACAUGGCUGGCACCAGUGACUGGCAGGUUAGGACCCAUGUCUUAAAGGGACAUUCCACACAGACAACAUGGCUGGUCCCAGUGACUGGCAGCUCAGGAGCCCAUGUAUUAACGGGACAUUCCACACGGACACCAUGGCUGGUCCCAGUGACUGACAGCCAAGGAUUCAUGUCUCAAAGGGACAUUCCACACAGACAACAUGGCUGGUCCCAGUGACUGACAGCCAAGGAUCCAUGUCUUAAAGGGGCGUUCCACACACACAACAUGGCUGGUCCAAGUGACUAAGAGCUUUGGAGCCCAUGUGUUAAAGUCUGGUUUAGUGAAUGUGAUCAACUGGAGCUCCAACAGGUUGUGAACUAGCUGGCAAGGUGAUAGAUGGUUGGCAAGGUGAUAGAUGGUUGGCAAGGUGACAGGUGGUUGGCAAGGUGACAGGUGGUUUUCUAGAUGACCAGCAGUCCACACACCUUCCUAUGACGAUGGGCAGCAAUGGAUGCAGGAUUGUGUUACUAAACUGAGAGGACAUGACUGAGGUUGUGAUGGCUGCAUGGUGACAUUAUCACACAUUAUCACACAGACACAGCAUGACAGUAGUUCCAAGUAGUGCACCACACCAGUCCCAUGAUGACAUAUAUAGUGAUGAGUGUGUGAUAAUACAAAUGGCCUGUUUACAAACCACUCAUCCCACAUCCCUGAGGGACAUCAAUAUGGCUGGGAUGAAUCUGUUCGUCCACCCAGUCGUCUGUGCUGUGUGUAGGGAGACCCAGUCGGGAAUAUGUUCCAACUACAAGAAGAUAUUUUAAGUGCCGUUGUACAAAACAACCUUAGCACUACGAUUGUCGUAAGUCUAUGUUAAGGUAUGGGUGUUACAAUUACCUUAGCGCUAAGAUCUGUCUGUACAACAGUACCCUGGACUGAUCCUCUGUGCCACUGACUACUGUUACAGACACUGCCAAGUAGCAAUAUGUCUGACAUUCACUGGAGUUGUUCCUCGCAGACUUUCAGCAAUAUCGACAGGAACACAGUGAGGUGAGGUGAGGUGAGGUGAGGUGAGGUGAGGUGAA